rnacentral:piRNA from 1 species
UGACCAUUCCAAACUGCUAUCCUACACA